rnacentral:rRNA from 1 species
CAGACGAUGCGUCAUGCAUAUCAAUAAGCGGAGGAAAAGAAAAUAACAAUGAUUUCCCUAGUAACGGCGAGUGAACAGGAAAGAGCUCAAAGUUGGAACCUGCUUGACUUAGUUAAGCCGGAUUGUAAACUGUAGAAACGUUUUCUAGGCAAGCCGAGUUAAAAAGUCCUUUGGAACAGGGCAUCAUAGAGGGUGAGAAUCCCGUCUUUGACUCGAGUAUUUUGUCUUUUUAUGAUACGUUUUCCAAGAGUCAGGUUGUUUGGGAAUGCAGCCUAAAUUGGGCGGUAAAUCUCACCUAAAGCUAAAUAUUUGCGAGAGACCAAUAGCGAACAAGUACCGUGAGGGAAAGAUGAAAAGAACUUUGAAAAGAGAGUUAAACAGUACGUGAAAUUGUCAAAAGGGAAGCGUUUGACACCAGUGUUGUUUUCUCGAAAAUCAAUUAAAAAGAGUUAGAUUUUGUUGUGUAUUGACCUUAACAGCUUGCAUUUCAAUUUUCUUGCUUUUUUUAAUGCACUUUUCGUUUAACAAGUCAACAUCAGUUUCUUUUGUUGUAAAAAGGUCAUUGGAAGGUGGCUUUCUUUUCGGAGAAGGUGUUUAUAGCCUUUGACUCCUGCAAUCGGAGAGACUGAGGUCUGCAGCGUAGAUCCUUCGGGGUUAGAUACAUUUGUGCUAAGUUAUAGCUUUUUAUAGACAACUUGUUGACUAUGAUUAGUCUUGUAGCUUACUCGCUUAUGCUAUUUUACCUACGCUUAGGAUGUUGAGUCGUAGAGCACGCAG